rnacentral:rRNA from 1 species
GUGGGGAAUCUUGCGCAAUGGGCGAAAGCCUGACGCAGCCAUGCCGCGUGAAUGAUGAAGGUCUUAGGAUUGUAAAAUUCUUUCACCGGGGACGAUAAUGACGGUACCCGGAGAAGAAGCCCCGGCUAACUUCGUGCCAGCAGCCGCGGUAAUACGAAGGGGGCUAGCGUUGCUCGGAAUUACUGGGCGUAAAGGGCGCGUAGGCGGACAGUUUAGUCAGAGGUGAAAGCCCAGGGCUCAACCUUGGAAUUGCCUUUUAUACUGGCGGUCUUGAGUACGGGAGAGGUGAGUGGAACUCCGAGUGUAGAGGUGAAAUUCGUAGAUAUUCGGAAGAACACCAGUGGCGAAGGCGACUCACUGGCCCGUUACUGACGCUGAGGCGCGAAAGCGUGGGGAGCAAACAGGAUUAGAUACCCUAGUAGUCC